UCCAGUUGUGCACUGCUGUCAUUGGUGAGUUUGCACGUCACUCAAAAGCGUUGUGGGUUUCUAUUGGACUAGGCUAUGUUAAACCCCGCCCCAUCCCCUCCAUUCACGUAAGUAAACAGAACGAGCCCUUUAUACGUGAGCCCCUCAAAUCCACACGACGGUUUCGGGUGCUAGCUGCAAGCCAUCUUCAGAACUGGACUCAAGUAGGUCCAUGAAAUUACUCAAGGAAAUUGUCCUCUGCAUUUGACCCAUCCUUUCUGGAGCAGUGGACAGCACAUGGGCCCCGAGGACCCAUCUCCACUUGGUUAACACCUUAGCUGGAGGAUUUUACCAAUGGUGCAUGUUUUGGGUUGAUGGGGGAAACCGGAAACCCACACAGACAUGGGGAGAACAUGCAAACUCCACACAGAAAGGCCCGGGCGACCUGGGGAUCAGACCUGGAACCUUCUUGCUGUGAAGCGUGAGUGUUAGCCACUCAGCCACCAUGCUGCUUUAUUACACAAAUGGUACAUGAUGUUGUCAAAGGAAAGACACAAAAAUGUGAAACAGCGCUGCAAGAAACACAAACGUUCAGGUCUGCUUAUAAAACA